rnacentral:lncRNA from 1 species
GGCGACAUGACUAAGUACAAACAAUUCCUUUUUCUUUUUUUUCUUUCUUGAUUCCAAUCAAGUAAUAGUAAUAAUUAAAUUUUUCUUUUUUCUUUUUUUUUUAAUAAUUGUUUGAGCAGUUGGAGUAGUAGGGUGGCUGAGAGGCUGCUGCUGUUCAUUGCCCGCUUGUUAAUUUUAACACCAUUUAUCAUGUUGGCAUUCAGUG